rnacentral:rRNA from 1 species
GUCUACAUCCAUACCACCCUGAACACACCCGAUCUCGGAAGCUAAGCAGGGUCGGGCCUGGUUAGCAAUUGGAUGGGAGAAAGGAAAAGAACCCCACUUAUUGACA